GGAAUAUUGCACAAUGGGCGCAAGCCUGAUGCAGCCAUGCCGCGUGUAUGAAGAAGGCCUUCGGGUUGUAAAGUACUUUCAGCGGGGAGGAAGGUGUUGUGGUUAAUAACCGCAGCAAUUGACGUUACCCGCAGAAGAAGCACCGGCUAACUCCGUGCCAGCAGCCGCGGUAAUACGGAGGGUGCAAGCGUUAAUCGGAAUUACUGGGCGUAAAGCGCACGCA
rnacentral:rRNA from 1 species